ACAAAGACCGGAGUAGAACUAGAAUCAACAUUGGGCUGGAUUUUCCACGAUGGAGAGCCCUACGCUCACCGAAGGGGCUCGAACACGACUCUGAGCUGGCGUUGCUUCUCCUGGAUGUGUAAGUACCCCGAUAGAUUCCUAGUGGUCCAGGCAUAAACGUUUCUAUUUCUUAGUCACUGACUAGAGAAAAAAAAUAAUAUCAUACGCUCUGCUUAUUUGAAUGAUUUGAAAAGGGUCCUGCAGGCCAGGAUUGUGUCGAGGAGGCUCUGUUCAGGAGCAGGGAUGCCCCUGACAAGGGAACAGCGUCCAGACAACCCUCGGAAGCUUGGACCAUUGGCACCCAUUCCCCCCCCACCCACUGCAGAACUUGCUGAGAAACAACUCAGAUGAGGUCUUGAUCCAGCACAGCCAGAAUGACAACAAGAGCUGUUGUGAAAGCACAUGGCCUCCUUUCAUUCAUCUGCAGUUUCUGGCUACAAGUACAGCUGCUGUAAUAUAGGAGGACCGCAUGCUGUGGUAAAACCAGUAAUUUGCUCCCCGCAUCAAAACAAAAGUGCCUUUUGCUACGACCCUCGAACCAAUCACUUCAAACGCACCUUUUUUUUGAAUGCACUAUGACUUUAUGGACUUUGUCAAACAAAUAUCCAUUUUGCAGCAAUGGUGCUGUUUUAUCACAGGCUGCUAAGUUCAAUAAUAUCAGCAUGGUCUAUUUUUUCUUUUCAAGAUGUACGAACACAUUUUGCAUUUUUGUCUAAAUGUCCAGAGCAUAAUUUCAAUAAAUAAA